GAUGAACGCUGGCGGCGUGCCUAAUACAUGCGAGUCGAGCGAACAGACGAGGAGCUUGCUCCUCUGACGUUAGCGGCGGACGGGUGAGUAACACGUGGAUAACCUACCUAUAAGACUGGGAUAACUUCGGGAAACCGGAGCUAAUACCGGAUAAUAUAUUGAACCGCAUGGUUCAAUAGUGAAAGACGGUUUUGCUGUCACUUAUAGAUGGAUCCGCGCCGCAUUAGCUAGUUGGUAAGGUAACGGCUUACCAAGGCAACGAUGCGUAGCCGACCUGAGAGGGUGAUCGGCCACACUGGAACUGAGACACGGUCCAGACUCCUACGGGAGGCAGCAGUAGGGAAUCUUCCGCAAUGGGCGAAAGCCUGACGGAGCAACGCCGCGUGAGUGAUGAAGGUCUUCGGAUCGUAAAACUCUGUUAUUAGGGAAGAACAAAUGUGUAAGUAACUAUGCACGUCUUGACGGUACCUAAUCAGAAAGCCACGGCUAACUAGGUG
rnacentral:rRNA from 1 species